AUGUGGCUAAACAUUCUCUCCUUACUAGUAGUUCUCAAAGGAGUCCAAUCUCAAGUCCAGUUGAUGGAGUCUGGAGGGGAUGUGAGAAGACCUGGAGAGUCCCUCCGUAUCUCCUGCCAAGGCUCUGGAUUCACCUUCAGCAGCUUCAACAUGAACUGGGUGAGACAUGCUCCUGGAAAACCUAUGGAAUGGGUUGGAGGCAUCUAUACUGAUUCCAGUGGAAUCUACUCAUACAAAAUGAAGGGCCGCUUCACCAUCUCCAGGGACAAUGCCAAAAGCCAGCUGUAUCUGCAAAUGAACAACCUCAAAGCUGAAGACACGGCAGUCUAUUACUGUACACCCAGUGAGAGGAAGUGA